UACACAUUGGACCCCCUUGCU
rnacentral:piRNA from 1 species